UACGAAGGGGGCUAGCGUUGCUCGGAAUCACUGGGCGUAAAGAGUGCGUAGGCGGGUCUUUAAGUCAGGGGUGAAAUCCUGGAGCUCAACUCCAGAACUGCCUUUGAUACUGAGGAUCUUGAGUUCGGGAGAGGUGAGUGGAACUGCGAGUGUAGAGGUGAAAUUCGUAGAUAUUCGGAAGAACACCAGUGGCGAAGGCGGCUCACUGGACUGGUAUUGACGCUGAGGUGCGAAAGCGUGGGGAGCAAACAGGG
rnacentral:rRNA from 1 species